rnacentral:rRNA from 1 species
UACAGAGGUCCCAAGCGUUGUUCGGAUUCAUUGGGCGUAAAGGGUGCGUAGGCGGCGGGGUAAGUCAGGUGUGAAAUCCCGGAGCUCAACUCCGGAACUGCACUUGAUACUGCCUUGCUUGAGUACUGGAGAGGAGACUGGAAUUUACGGUGUAGCAGUGAAAUGCGUAGAUAUCGUAAGGAAGACCAGUGGCGAAGGCGAGUCUCUGGACAGUUACUGACGCUGAGGCACGAAGGCCAGGGGAGCAAACGGG